CCGUAUAAUCCAAUUGAAGUGGUGUUUUAUUGUCCAGGCAAUGAAGUUAUUGAGGGUUAAAUCCCUAUAUUUUUUCCCAUUUAUUCAUGAGAUGUCUUGAGGAAAGGCCACCGGACCCGAAAGGUUGACUCUGAUUUUUUUUUUACUCUUCACAGACGUUGCCAGACUUUCCUGAGUUUUUCCAGCAGCUUCUGUUUUUAUUCCUGACUUACAGCACCGCAGUUCUCUCGGUUUUCGUGGGAUAUCCGUUCCUGGUUGCCCUUCAGAAGGUGGUGAUCUCUAAUUCUAUGACUUUAGGCUGGACUCUGGUAUCAGAGGGGGACAUACAGAGAAGCGAGCAGCCAGCUGACUUUGCCAGAUACUGUUCAAGUAAAGGAACUUUACGCCUCUCAGUGCUUUUGAAAGUACGAUUAUAAUGUUACAAUCUGCGGUCCAUCUCAAGGCACUUCAUUGGAACAGACAGAUCCAAUAUGCUGAAUCUGCCAUUUUGCUUAAAGUGCUUGAAGACAGCAUAUUUUGGGAAGUUGCCAGACCUGCCAACUUUCUCCAGCAGUUUCUGUCUUUGUAGCAUACUGCCCUCCCACCACCACCCCAGACUGAUUAUAUGCUUUGUCUCUCACCAUCUGCAAGAAGGAGCUACCAGGAAACAAUUGGCCAAAGUAUUUGGACAUGCCUCAUCAUGGCAAAACGUUACCAGGGACAAAGGAAACAACUCUAGAACGUCGUUAAAAUCUUCCCAAGAAAAUGCAACGUCCCCACUGACUUGUGAGAAUCUGUACCCCAAAACUGCCCAAACUGGAGAAGAAGCAUCCACUGUAUGCCCAGUUUUUUUAAGUAUCUUUGAGCAGCGCAGUUCUAGAUCAAAUAAAAACAGUGAGAGUAGCGUCACAAACCUGAGCAUCCCAGCAACAUACUUCUUCAAACGCCAUCUAUCCUCCUUCAAUAGGAUGCACAGAUCCAACAUUGGACUAUUCAGCCACCUCAGCAUCCACAACACUGGAUUGGUAGAAAGUUAUCUUUAAUCUCGAGGGGCUAUCUAAGGAAGGAACGUUUUGUAGUAGUUCUGAAAAUCUCAACCCCCGGCGGGGUCUCUCGAUUCAGCAAUCGGUCA